CCUACGGGUGGCAGCAGUGGGGAAUAUUGCUCAAUGGGCGAAAGCCUGACGCAGCGACGCCGCGUGAGGGAUGAAGGUCUUCGGAUCGUUAACCUCUUUCAGCAGAGAAGAAAAGUGACUGUGCUGAUCAGCAUUGAAUUGACGUUACCUUCAAGGAACGCACCGGCUAACUCCGUGCGAGCAGCCGCGGUAAUACGGAGGGUGCUAGUGUUAAUCGGAUUUGCUGGGCGUAAAGCGAGCGUAGGCGGUAUGUCAAGUCAAAUGUGAAAUCCCGGCGCUCAACGUGGGAACUGCAUUUGAUACUGGCAGACUGGAGUGUGGGAGAGGAUAGUGGAAUUCCAGGUGUAGGAGUGAAAUGCGUAGAUAUCAGGAGGAACACCAGUGGCGAAGGCGACUAUCUGGAACACAACUGACGUUGAGGAGCGAAAGCGUGGGUAGCAAACAGGAUUAGAUACCCGUGUAGUC
rnacentral:rRNA from 1 species